GGCCCAGUGGCUCAGUUGGUUAGAGCGCCGCCCUGUCACGGCGGAGGUCGACGGUUCAAGUCCGUUCUGGGUCGCUA
rnacentral:tRNA from 1 species